rnacentral:tRNA from 1 species
GGGGGCGUGGCGGAAUUGGCAUACGCAGCGGACUUAAAAUCCGCCGGGAAACCUUGUGAGUUCGAGUCUCACCGCCCCUACCA